CCUCCCAAACUAAAAGUGUUUCUGUGGCUAUUAUCCCAAAAUAAAAUUCUGACCAAUGUACAGAGAACAAGAAGAAAAAUGACAAAUAAUUCAGCUUGUCCGUUUUGUCAUUGCCAUAUGGAAUCGCUUCAGCAUGUGUUCAUCCGUUGUCCUCGAGCUCAAGCAAUAUGGAACUCCUUCUCCUUACCUGAUUGUGUUAAGAGUCUAUUGGAAGAGUUCCUGGGACUGCAGCAUCUUUCAUGUUUUCAGGGAGGUUAACUUU